UUGGAAACAUUGAUCAUAAAAGAUCCGCCCAUUGCUUAUUACAUUUAUUGCUUUGCACAUCAACUUCAAUUGGUUCUUAUUGCCGUGAAAGGAAAUGAACCAUGUAAAUGGUUUUUCGAUCAUGUUUCUUACUUUCUCAAUAUUGUUGGAGUUUCUUGCACGCGUCAUGACAUGCUUCGAGAUGUUAGAUCUCAAAAGGUUUUGGAAGCACUUGAAAUGGCUGAAAUUGAACGUGGAAGUGGGUUAAAUCAAGAGAUGGGAUUAGCCAGAACUAGUGAUACUCGGUGGGGUUCUCAUUCUCGAACCAUUUUGCACAUUAUUACCAUGUAUCCCACAAUAUGAUAAGUACUUGAUACUAUUGGAAAAGAUCCUUCACAAAGUGGUGAGUGGACAAGAAUAUGUGUAGUGGCUUUUGCCUUGGAGUCAUAUGACAUUUUCAAUCUUCACGUGAUGGUUGUUAUUCUUGGCCACACUAAUGAUUUGCCUGAAUCAUUGCAAAAGAGGUGUCAAGUUAUUUUUAAUGCAAUGGCACUUGUUAGUUUGGCAAAGAAUAAAAUGCGACAUAUAAGGUCUCAUGGUUGGGAAGAAUUUCUAGAAAACGUGACAUUGUUUUGCAACAAACAUGGCACUGAAGUUCCUACACCAGAGGAUAAUUAUGUACAUCAUGGAAGAUCACCUCGGUAUUAUGAAGUGCAAACAAAUGAUGAUCGUCAUAGAAGAGAAGUAUAUCUUGGUAUCCUUGAUCAAAUCAUUCAAGAACGUGACAAUAUGUUUGACGAGGUUAAUAUGGAGUUGCUUAUUUGCAUGUCUGCUUUGAACCCCGCCAAUUCAAUUUCUUCUUAUGAUGCACUCAAGGUAAUGAAAUUGCUUAAUUAUACCCCCAGGACAUAUCAAGCAUGGAUUUGCUAA
rnacentral:rRNA from 1 species